UACGUAGGGUGCAAGCGUUAAUCGGAAUUACUGGGCGUAAAGCGUGCGCAGGCGGUUAUGCAAGACAGAUGUGGAAUCCCCGGGCUCAAACUGGGAAAUGCAUUUGUGACUGCAUGACUUGAGUACGGUAGAGGGGGAUGGAAUUCCGCGUGUAGCAGUGAAAUGCGUAGAUAUGCGGAGGAACACCGAUGGCGAAGGCAAUCCCCUGGACCUGUACUGACGCUCAUGCACGAAAGCGUGGGGAGCAAACAGG
rnacentral:rRNA from 1 species